rnacentral:rRNA from 1 species
AAGAGUUUGAUCCUGGCUCAGAUUGAACGCUGGCGGAAUGCUUUACACAUGCAAGUCGAGCGGCAGCGCGGGGGCAACCCUGGCGGCGAGCGGCGAACGGGUGAGUAACAUAUCGGAACGUACCCCGUCGUGGGGGAUAACACAGCGAAAGCUGUGCUAAUACCGCAUACGACCUGAGGGUGAAAGCGGGGGAUCGCAAGACCUCGCGCGAUGGGAGCGGCCGAUAUCGGAUUAGCUUGUUGGUGAGGUAAAGGCUCACCAAGGCGACGAUCCGUAGCUGGUCUGAGAGGACGACCAGCCACACUGGAACUGAGACACGGUCCAGACUCCUACGGGAGGCAGCAGUGGGGAAUUUUGGACAAUGGGCGCAAGCCUGAUCCAGCCAUUCCGCGUGCAGGAUGAAGGCCUUCGGGUUGUAAACUGCUUUUGUACGGAACGAAACGGCGAGCUCUAAUACAGUUUGCUAAUGACGGUACCGUAAGAAUAAGCACCGGCUAACUACGUG